UAAUCCCAAAAUGAGAGGAGAAAGACCA
rnacentral:piRNA from 1 species